CCCCAGGAAGAUGUAAUCACCAGUAUUGUUAUUGAAGAGGGAGGAGGGGAGAAGAAAACCCCAAACAGCAGAAAACAUUCCUGAGUUCUGUGCGCAGUGCCUUUGAUGAGUGUGCUCAGAUUUUUUUCAUCAAGGUGGUUUUGAAUCAGUUGCAGGCCUUCUUUCAUGUGGGUAACUAUUUAAAGAUGUGAUAUUCGGGGCAAGCGUUUGUACCAACUCAUUUUCUCUGUCUUCUCCCAGGCCGCUGAGGACCGCACAGGGGAGCGGGCGGCGGCAUUGCGAGGAAUGACCACUGGGUGGCACUGUUGCUCCAUGGAGAGCUGCCAACGGCGUCCCCGGGGACCCGGCCACGUUGAGCACAAAAGGUGGGAUUUCUAAGGCAGAGGAGCCUGGCAACCAUGUCCCAAGUUGGAAGGAAGCUCUGAGAGCCCUGCUCCCCAGAAAUCCUGAGCAAAGGCCGGCUGGCCUACAGGAGCAGUCUAGAGUAAGAGCUGUUUCCUGGCAGAGGAUAAAGUAUCCAGGUCACAUUGAAGAGACAUGUGAGGACUCCAAUGGAGAACAAUUUGAGAGUGAGAAACCAGGUGAGGUGUUUCUCACUCUAGGAAAGUUAGUGAAUCUACCAUAGCUGGGAGACGAUG
ensembl:lincRNA